AGACCUGAUGCUUACAACAGGCUGUGUUCUUACACUGACUGUAUAGAAAGAGGAGGCAGAGUAAAUCUACCCUACAUACAUCACAGCGCAAGCCUGUGCCUGGUCUGUAUUGUGAAUGGAAGAAAAUGA